rnacentral:lncRNA from 1 species
CACCAUCUGUCCGCGAUUCUAAGACGCCUCCAGCCCUCACAAGAGCAGAUCUCCUCUGCAAGCUGCCUGAGAAAAAAAGGAAGGAAAAAACCUGAAACCAAGAACUCAUCCAGCCGCCAGUACCUACCAUCAUCCCCAAACAGAAGUUUUUCAGGGCUCAGGUCUGGCUGCCCUGCAUUCCAGGCUUUUCCAGGCUUUUCCGACCUGGCUUCCCCACCCCAGGCGAUGCUGGCCCCUGAAGAGAAAAUCCCAAGGAAGCAUGCCAGAGGUCCCUGAACUUGAGUCUUCAACAGCCCAUCAGGGUUCUGGUAGAAACGCCAACCCUUGAAAUAAUCUCAUCUCUGUUCUGAUGCAUCACAGCUGAUGAAGUCACUUCAGAGGCAGGAGGC